rnacentral:rRNA from 1 species
UACGUAGGGGGCUAGCGUUGUCCGGAAUCAUUGGGCGUAAAGCGCACGUAGGCGGCUUCUUAAGUCAGGGGUGAAAUCCUGGAGCUCAACUCCAGAACUGCCUUUGAUACUGAGAAGCUUGAGUCCGGGAGAGGUGAGUGGAACUGCGAGUGUAGAGGUGAAAUUCGUAGAUAUUCGCAAGAACACCAGUGGCGAAGGCGGCUCACUGGCCCGGUACUGACGCUGAGGUGCGAAAGCGUGGGGAGCAAACAGG